GACGAACGCUGGCGGCGUGCCUAAUACAUGCAAGUUGAGCGCUGAAGGUUGGUACUUGUACCAACUGGAUGAGCAGCGAACGGGUGAGUAACGCGUGGGGAAUCUGCCUUUGAGCGGGGGACAACAUUUGGAAACGAAUGCUAAUACCGCAUAAAAACUUUAAACACAAGUUUUAAGUUUGAAAGAUGCAAUUGCAUCACUCAAAGAUGAUCCCGCGUUGUAUUAGCUAGUUGGUGAGGUAAAGGCUCACCAAGGCGAUGAUACAUAGCCAACCUGAGAGGGUGAUCGGCCACAUUGGGACUGAGACACGGCCCAAACUCCUACGGGAGGCAGCAGUAGGGAAUCUUCGGCAAUGGACGAAAGUCUGACCGAGCAACGCCGCGUGAGUGAAGAAGGUUUUCGGAUCGUAAAAACUCUGUUGGUAGAGAAAGAAACGUUGGUGAAGAAGUGGAAAAGCUUCAUCAAAGGGGACCGGAACUACCCAG
rnacentral:rRNA from 1 species